GCUGACUCCUGUUUCCCGGGGCGGCGUGGGGGCAGCGGGGCUCCCUGGAGGGGCCUGGUCCCGGGGGGCGCCGAGGGUGCGCGGGGAGCCGGCAGGUCGCCCGAGGCUCUGGCCCGGGGCCUGAGGACCAGGAACAAGGGCCCAUUGUCUGGGCCUCCUCCCGCCGGGCCCCGCGGGCCUCGGACCAGCCUGUCCAGCUCCCAGCGGGCAGCCUCUCCUGGCUGUGAGCCAGGCUGCGGUGGGGAGCGGGGGAGUCAGCCAGUGGGCGGCCCGAGGUCGGACGGCCGGCUGUGCGCAUGCCCGGCUCGGGCCCCCGAGGCCAGCCUCCCUGACCGCACUGCCCCCCACAGCACCUGGAGCUCGGAGUCCUCGGGCAGGACCUGCCAGCGGCUUAUCUACAGCCUAGCCCCUCAGGCAGGCGGUUGCAGGGGGCCCACCCGCCUUGGAGGGAGGCUCAGGGCUGGAGAGGGGGCAGGCGUGCAGCCCCCAGCCCAAGGCGCCCCCUUCCUGCAGGCACCCCCCUGGCCCGGCUCCUCUCCGUGGGAGCUGCCGUCCGCCCUGCCCUCUGCACCCGGCCUGGCCCAGGGCCCGGCCCCCUGGACCAACAUGACCUCAGCGGCAGUCAGCUGAGUCCCUGAGGCAGCCUGGGAGGCAGGUGGUGCCCGGGUCUUGUCACCUGGGGGGAAAAUGAGGCUGGGGCAGGUGUGGCGUGCCCAGGGCCACACCGCCCUCUGGGAACCCCUGGCCUGAGCGGGGGCUCCACGGCCAGCCCAGUGGCCCACGUUGCCACGGGGUCCCCCUCAGUCGGGCCACAUGGCCUCGUGCGCACAGGCUUGUUCUGGCAACAGGCCACUGGCACCCGGGCCCUAGAGCGCCUCCCUGCCCCCCAAGUCUGCUGCCCUUGGCCUCGGGCCUGUGGGGGCUGUUCCUUGUCUUGGCGGGCAGGGGCUCUGGAGGUGCCCCCACCACUCUUGGCCCCCAGGCAGCCAGCCCCAGGCUCAAGUGACAGGACAGAACCACAGGGGUUCUGCGGGGGAUGGGGGACCCCACUCCGUCUCGAGUUCCAGCUUAUGACGCAGGGAGCAUCCCACAGGGCAGGUCCCAGCCUACGUCCCCCAACACGGCCCUCGUUUUUAGCCUGGGUCUGUUCCCUCCCUGGCCCCCAAGCCUCCGGGUAGGGGACACCAGGCACCCUCAGGAGCAUCCAUCCUUCCAAAAGUUUGGUCAGUGACCUUCGAGGAGGCAUGUGGAAACACUGACCGGGUGGGCUUGGGGUCCAGCACCCCGAUUUGGAGACCUGGCUUCCCCUUAGUGGCAUGUGGCCGUGGAGGAGUCAGGUCACCCCCUCCGCCAGCACCACGGGAUAAGCAAUGCCACCCCAUUGGGUUGGCGUAAAAAUCAGAGACAACCAUUGUGAGAGGCGUGGUGAGGCCGCAAACAGUGGGUUUUUAGAACAGCCUUGAUAAACGCAGGUGCGUCGAAUCCUCACAGCCAGGCCGCCUCUUAACCAAGGGGGAAACUGAGGCUCAGGGCUCUUGGCAGCAUUGCCCGUGGCCACUCGCCCAGGAAGUGGCCGUGUGCAGGGGCCUGGGCCACCCUGACCAGGGGCGCCGCCUGAGGCCAGGGUGGUGGCGGCGGGGCCCUUGCUGAGUCCCUCCCUGCCCGUGCCUCUCCUGCAGCUCCGGAAGGCCCUGCCAGCGGGCGAGGCCGUGGACCUGUCGGGAACCCCCGUUGGCCCGGGACCCGCGGCCCGUCGCACGCUAUUUGGGCUGGCGGGGCUGGCCCUGAGCUUCACGGGGCUCAGCGACAGGCUGCCGUGCCCACUGCUGCCCAGCCUCUGAGCUAGCACCCCUCACCGCCCACCAUCCACGAGGGCCCGGACCCGGGGCCCCGGCCCUGGCGCCCCCUGGGGCUCUGUGGCUGCACGGCCCACGCCCCAGGCCUGCUGCACCGGGUGACCCACCAGCUGCCGUGGCUCCUGGCUCCCGAGCCCAUGGGCGGACGGGGUGAUGGGGGUGGAGGUCCCCCCGGAGCCAGUGUGCGGAGUGGUGGGGGGGGCCAGCACAUAUAAAGGGCCACGCCCUCUCCACCUCAGCCUUUCUGCACCGUGGGCCUCGGGGGCCACUGGGCACCAGCCCGGCCCCGGGGUGAGAAGGAGGGCCUGCAAAAGGGAGGGACCAGACUCAGCCUGACCUCCCCUGGGUGCUCCCUGGACAGCGUUCCCUGGGAGGCCAAAGCGGGAGGUCUGUCUAUGGGUGGGGACUUGGAGGAGACCUCCAGGGCCCAGCCGGUCCGGGCAGGGCCUGGGCACCUGGAGGAUGGGACCCAGAGUGGGGCAGAGCUCCUGCUUGAGCCCAGGCUGCUUAACACCCCCCUCAACCGGGAUUCCCUGGGCCGGGCACAGAACUGUGCCGAUGGGGCGAGGCCCACCUCCUGUGGGGCGAACAGCGCUGCCCACCAGCUCUGGUGCCACCCUCCAGGCCUCCUGUACUUGGUGAGUGGGCGGCUCCACGGGGCAGGGGAGGAGAGACAGCAGUCAGAGACAAAGAGCUCUGUGCUCCCUGCAGGCCCUGGGGGGCCCCACACUGAGUCCUCCCCGUGGGGAAACCCAGGGGUGCACGCGGGGGUGAGGCCCGGGGAGGGGAGCAGGACCCACGGGCAGGCUGCAGACCAGGCGCCUUGCUGCCCACCCAGGCCUGCGUGGGGGGCUGGAGCUCAGCGCCACUGGGAGCUGGGCAGGGACGCCAAGCUAGUGGAGUGGUGUCACCGUGCCCAGCCCAGGGCGCCCCUGCAGGCCAGCGCCAUGGGCAGCGGGGUCUCCUGCCUCGCGGAGCGCCCCACUGGACCCUCCCCAGAGCUCCAGCCCUUGGUGGACUGCCAGCCAGCACCUUGACACACGUCUGUAGGCGGCUGGAUGCCCAGCAGCGUCUUGGGCCAGAAGGGCGGCGUCAGGCCCGGGAGGGCAGGAGGCGGUGAGGUCAGGCCCCUGCCUCCCUGCGCCCAGGGGAGCCCUACCCAGAGGGACCAGAAGGCAUGAGCUCUGCUCCCCUCUGUGCAGCUCUCUGCUCUCCGUCGUGGGGGCUUGGCCCCUCCCCAGCCUCCUUUAACGACAUGGACCUGCCCAGUGACCCCCACUCUGGGACAGAGGGCUCGGGUCCCCGGGGGCUGGGAGGACGAGGAAGCUGGCCCGGGCCGGGCGAGCUGCUGAGCCACAUCCUGAGACUCCAGGCUGUCAGUCUGCGGCCUCCCUCUGCCCCUCCUCCCUGCCCACCCCAGGCCUGCGUCUGCCACAGACCUGGGGCCUGACGACCACGACCGCGACCGUGUGGAGGGAAUCUCACCAGACACUGCGAGGACCGUGGCCGGCGUUGCUGGCCUAGCUGUUUGGACGCAGGUGUCCGGAGUCCCUUUGAGGGGCCCUUGCAAACCCCCGAGAGGCUUCCUCUGCGGGCAGGGACACCCAAGAAGGCACUGCGGGCGGAGGAGGCACCAGGACGUGAGCGAACCGAGUCAGCGAGAGGUCGAGAGACCUGUCUGAGGUCAAAGGGCCAGGCACGGGGGGAGCCAGGAGGUGAGCCAGGCGGCUGGCUGCAGUCUGGGGUGCUGCCUGUCUCCCAGCCAUCGGGGGCCAAGGAGUCACCCAAAUCCCCGCCAGGGGCGCCCCAGCAAGCCAGAGGCCAUUCGGCCAUCAUAAGGGCCCUGCUGCGGCAAGGCCAGCUGGGAUCUCCCUGGGCCUCUGUCUCCUCGCGGGCAAGACAGGGCGGGGUGGCGGCGGGGGAGCAGAGAGGAGCCAGGCUCUUCCUCUUCUGGGACGGAAAGGGCCUGGUGAGGAGCAGGCCGGAAGCACUGACGGUGCAGCCCCGCUCAGGCGUGCGGGGUCCGUGCCCGCUUCUGGCAAGCUGACAGACGGCUGCAGAAGCCUUGUCUCUCCGGCCUCCGCUUCUCGGGUCACGCCGGCAUGUUGAGAGCAACAAGAAAGACGAAGAAAACACGCCUGUCCUCUGCAGGACCGUGGUGACCAACGCGCGGGGGCUUCUGUCCUGGAAGGGAGGACGUGUGAGCCCAGAUAGAAGGCUUUAACUAAAAACGCUUCCUCCUUGGAAGAAAAUCUGCAACAAACCUAGGCAGCGUAUUUAAAAAGCAGAGACGU